rnacentral:rRNA from 1 species
AUUGAACGCUGGCGGCAUGCUUUACACAUGCAAGUCGAACGGUAACAGGCCUUCGGGUGCUGACGAGUGGCGAACGGGUGAGUAAUGCAUCGGAACGUACCCAGAGGUGGGGGAUAACGCAGCGAAAGCUGUGCUAAUACCGCAUGUGAUCUGAGGAUGAAAGCGGGGGACCGAGCAGCAAUGUUUGGCCUCGCGCCUUUGGAGCGGCCGAUGUCGGAUUAGCUAGUUGGUGGGGUAAAGGCCUACCAAGGCGACGAUCCGUAGCUGGUCUGAGAGGACGACCAGCCACACUGGGACUGAGACACGGCCCAGACUCCUACGGGAGGCAGCAGUGGGGAACUUUGGGCAAUGGGCGCAAGCCUGAUCCAGCAAUGCCGCGUGCGGGAAGAAGGCCUUCGGGUUGUAAACCGCUUUUGGCAGGAACGAAACGGUGUCCGCUAAUACCGGGCGCUAAUGACGGUACCUGCAGAAUAAGCACCGGCUAACUACGUG